rnacentral:rRNA from 1 species
GAGGAAUAUUGGUCAAUGGGCGAGAGCCUGAACCAGCCAAGUAGCGUGCAGGAUGACGGCCCUAUGGGUUGUAAACUGCUUUUGUGCGGGAAUAACGGUCGACACGUGUGUUGAUGUGCAUGUACCGUACGAAUAAGGAUCGGCUAACUCC